CGGAUGCAAAAAGAUAACGGGCAAUGUCCUGAUGUCCAAAACCUGUGGUUUACAAACAGCAAACUAUCGCAACCAACCACCACCGCCAUGACAAUGGCGACGACGAGCCUCAAACUCUUAUCCUCACAACCACCACCGCACGGCAACCACCACCACCACCGCACCACAACCACCACUAUCCUCAGCCACAACCGCCUUCCAAUUCCGCUUUCUAACCGAACAUUUUACAGUCUACAACCUCUUCACUCUUCCAACAAUAAUUACAGUAGAACUCACCGGAGGAGGUAUCGCGUGUGCUGUAAGGCCGUAGAUGUUAAACCUAAAGACGCUUCUGACUUCGAAGCAACUGCUAUUGCCGGCCGAGAUCGUCUGUUGAAGGUUCCCACAGAAAAAAUUAGGAAUUUCUCUAUCAUUGCACAUAUUGAUCAUGGGAAAUCGACAUUAGCAGAUAAGUUGCUGCAAGUGACGGGUACAGUGCAAACACGUGAAAUGAAGGAGCAGUUUUUGGAUAACAUGGAUCUUGAGAGGGAAAGGGGAAUCACUAUCAAAUUACAGGCUGCUAGAAUGCGUUUUGUGCAAGACGGUGAACCUUAUUGCCUUAAUCUUAUUGAUACUCCAGGGCAUGUUGAUUUUUCUUAUGAGGUUUCGCGAUCCCUUGCUGCAUGUGAGGGGGCUCUUCUUGUUGUUGACGCCUCACAGGGAGUGGAAGCUCAAACGUUAGCUAAUGUUUAUUUAGCCUUGGAAAAUAACCUUGAAGUGAUUCCUGUGUUGAAUAAGAUAGAUCUUCCAGGUGCCGAACCAAGUCGUGUUGUUCAAGAGAUUGAAGAGGUCAUCGGUUUGGAUUGCAGCAAUGCUAUUUACUGCUCAGCAAAGGAGGGAAUUGGUAUAAAUGAAAUACUGACUGCAAUUGUUCAAAGGAUUCCUCCACCGCCUGAUUCAGCUGGAAGACCUUUGAGAGCUCUUAUAUUUGAUAGUUACUAUGAUGCGUACAGGGGUGUUAUUGUAUAUUUUCGUGUUAUUGAUGGAACUGUAAAGAAAGGUGACAGAAUUCUUUUUAUGGCUAGUGGGAAGGAUUAUUAUGCCGAUGAAAUCGGAGUUCUAUCUCCUAAUCAGCAGCAGGUUGAUGAACUAUAUGCUGGUGAGGUGGGCUACAUGUCAGCAUCAAUAAGGUCAGUAGCAGAUGCUCGGGUGGGUGACACAAUAACCCACUAUGGUAGAAAAGCAGAGGAAUCUCUUCCUGGAUAUAAAGAGGCCACUCCAAUGGUGUUUUGUGGCUUGUUUCCUGUAGAUGCUGACCAAUUUCCUGAUUUACGUGAUGCCCUGGAGAAACUACAGCUUAAUGAUGCUGCAUUGAAGUUUGAGCCAGAGACAUCAAGUGCUAUGGGCUUUGGUUUUAGAUGUGGGUUUUUGGGUCUUCUUCAUAUGGAAAUUGUUCAGGAAAGACUUGAACGCGAAUACAAUCUAACUUUGAUAACUACUGCACCAAGUGUUGUAUACAGAGUGCACUGUGUUGGUGGUGAAAUUGUUGAAUGUUCAAAUCCAUCAGCACUUCCUGAACAAGGUAAGAGGAAGUCGAUUGAAGAGCCAAUGGUGAAGAUUGAAAUGCUAACCCCAAAAGACUACAUUGGUUCACUUAUGGAACUUUCUCAAGAUAGACGCGGAGAUUUUAAAGGAAUGAAAUUUAUCACAGAGACCAGAGCUUCACUCACCUAUGAGAUGCCACUAGCUGAGAUGGUAGGGGAUUUCUUCGAUCAGCUAAAAUCAAGGAGUAAGGGCUAUGCUAGCAUGGAGUAUUCUUUUAUUGGGUACAAGGAAAGUGAUUUGAUAAAGCUAGAUGUGUUGAUAAACGGUGAUGGUGUGGAGCCUUUGUCUACAAUCGUACACAAAGAUAAGGUUAUUGACAGGUUAUAAUGUUAUCAACUUACUUUCUCUCUGUAUAGGCAUAUUCUGUGGGAAGGGCUUUGACUCAGAAGCUAAAGGAACUUAUACCUAGGCAAAUGUUUAAAGUGCCCAUCCAAGCAUGCAUAGGCACAAAGGUGAUUGCGAGUGAAAGUUUAUCUGCAAUUAGGAAAGACGUCCUUGCCAAAUGCUACGGUGGUGACAUCUCGAGAAAGAAAAAGUUGCUAAAGAAACAGGCUGCUGGAAAGAAAAGAAUGAAAGCGAUCGGAAAAGUAGAUGUGCCUCAAGAAGCAUUCAUGGCGGUUUUGAAACUCGAAAAAGAGGUGCUAUAAUCAGUCACACAAUGCCUAUGUGACAGCAUGCUGCAACACAUGCACAUUGUAUCUAUAUCACAUGUACAGUGUAUCUACCAAGGUAGAAAGCAAAAUUUUUUAAAUGGGCAAUCAACUUCCUUGAUGUCAUCGGGAUUUAGUGAUUAGAGACUACACAUACCAUUGUGGGUUUUUAAUACAGCUGCUUCUGAAAGGAAAAGAAUGCUGAA